rnacentral:piRNA from 1 species
AGAAGUGAGAGGGAGAUAGAGCAGAAA